rnacentral:rRNA from 1 species
CAGUCGCCACGGUAAUACGUAGGGCGCAAGCGUUAUCCGGAAUUAUUGGGCGUAAAGAGCUCGUAGGCGGUUUGUCGCGUCUGCCGUGAAAGUCCGGGGCUCAACCCCGGAUCUGCGGUGGGUACGGGCAGACUAGAGUGAUGUAGGGGAGACUGGAAUUCCUGGUGUAGCGGUGAAAUGCGCAGAUAUCAGGAGGAACACCGAUGGCGAAGGCAGGUCUCUGGGCAUUAACUGACGCUGAGGAGCGAAAGCAUGGGGAGCGAACAGGAUUAGAUACCCGGGUAGUCCCUGUCUCUUAUAC